GACGAACGCUGGCGGCGUGCUUAACACAUGCAAGUCGAACGGAAAGGCCCUGCUUUCAGGGUACUCGAGUUGCGAACGGGUGAGUAACACGUGGGUGAUCUGCCCUGCACUUCGGGAUAAGCCUGGUCAACUGGGUCUAAUACCUGAUAGGAGCCAUUUUUAAUGUGAUGGUUGGAAAGUUUUUUCGGUGUAGGAUGAGCUCGCGGCCUAUCAGCUUGUUGGUGGGGUAAUGGCCUACCAAGGCGGCGACGGGUAGCCGGCCUGAGAGGGUGGACGGCCACAUUGGGACUGAGAGACGGCCCAGACGCCUACGGGAGGCAGCAGGGGGGAAUAUUGCACAAUGGGCGCAAGCCUGAUGCAGCGACGCCGCGUGGGGGAUGACGGCCUUCGGGUUGUAAACUCCUUUCGCUAGGGACGAAGCUUUUUGUGACGGUACCUAGAUAAGAAGCACCGGCUAACUACGUG
rnacentral:rRNA from 1 species